AUUGAACGCUAGCGGGAUGCCUUACACAUGCAAGUCGAACGGAGUGGCGAACGGGUGAGUAAUGUAUCGGAACGUGCACAGUAGUGGGGGAUAACUACGCGAAAGCGUAGCUAAUACCACAUACUAUUGGAGCGGCCGAUGUCGGAUUAGCUAGAUGGUGGUGUAACGGCUCACCAAGGCGACGAUCCGUCGCUGGUUUGAGAGGACGACCAGCCACACUGGGACUGAGACACGGCCCAGACUCCUACGGUAGGCAGCAGUGGGGAAUUUUGGACAAUGGGGGAAACCCUGAUCCAGCCAGGCCGCGUGUGCGAUGAAGGCCUUCGGGUUGUAAAGCACUUUUGGCAGGAAAGCGGUACCUGCAGAAUAAGCACCGGCUAACUACGUGCCAGCAGCCGCGGUAAUUC
rnacentral:rRNA from 1 species